CCUGGUUGAUUCUGCCAGUAGUCAUAUGCUUGUCUCAAAGAUUAAGCCAUGCAUGUCUAAGUAUAAACACGUUAUACUGUGAAACUGCGAAUGGCUCAUUAAAUCAGUUAUAGUUUAUUUGAUGGUUUUUGCUACAUGGAUAACUGUGGUAAUUCUAGAGCUAAUACAUGCGUACAAGCCCCGACUUCUGGAAGGGGUGUAUUUAUUAGAUAAAAAUCAACACUGUUGGUGAAUCAUGAUAACUUCUCGGAUCGCAUGGCCUCGUGCUGGCGAUACUUCAUUCAAAUAUCUGCCCUAUCAACUGUCGAUGGUAGGAUAGAGGCCUACCAUGGUUGCAACGGGUAACGGGGAAUAAGGGUUCGAUUCCGGAGAGGGAGCCUGAGAAACGGCUACCACAUCCAAGGAAGGCAGCAGGCGCGCAAAUUACCCAAUCCCGACACGGGGAGGUAGUGACAAUAUGUAACAAUAUACGGCUUUAUCGUCGUAUAAUUGGAAUGAGUACAAUUUAAAUCCCUUAACGAGGAACAAUUGGAGGGCAAGUCUGGUGCCAGCAGCCGCGGUAAUUCCAGCUCCAAUAGCGUAUAUUAAAGUUGUUGCAGUUAAAAAGCUCGUAGUUGGACCUUGGGCCUGGACGGGCGGUCCGCCUCACGGCGUGUACUGUCUUGCCGGGCCUUUCCUCUUGGUGAUCUGUUGUUUCGGCAGCAGGGAACCAGGACCUUUACUUUGAAAAAAUUAGAGUGUUCAAAGCAGGCUCGACGCCGGAAUAUAUUAGCAUGGAAAUAAUAAAUAGGACGUGCGGUUCUAUUU
rnacentral:rRNA from 1 species